AAAAAAAAAAAAAAGCUUUUCUGAAUUAUCAUGAAUACAAAAUAAUUUGUUAUAAAGUGCUGAAAAUCCUACCUUCUUUUUCACUUGUCAGAUCAGUAAGUCAUCUCAUGUCACUCCUCUGAGAAAAAACUCUUGCAACGGCUCUCCAUCUUACUCUGAGGGAAAGCCAAGAUUCCUAUAGUGGUCUGGAGGCCCCACCACACCCCACUGCCUUGACCCCCUGUCCUCGGUUCCUGCCGCUUUCCUCUCUUCCUCACAUUCUCCAGGCACCCUCUUGCUUUACGGUCUGUAUUAGCUAUCUGUUGCUGUGUAACCAAUCCCCCCAAAAUGUAAUUAAAACAACAUACGUUUAUUAUCUCACAGAGUUUCCGUGGGUCAGAAAUCUGGGAGUGGCUUAUGGGUGGUUUUGGCUCAAGGUCUCUGGUGAGGUUACAGUCAAGAUGUCAGCUGGGGCUGCACUCUAAGAAGACUUGAAUGGAGCUGGAGAAUCUGCCUCCAAACUCACUCACAUGGGUGUUGGCUGGAGGCCUCAGUUCCUCACCGCGUGAACCUCUCCACUGGGCAUGGCUUCCCCCAGAAUGCGAGAUGCAGGAGAGAGAAAGAGCCCUGGAGAGAACGCCAACACGUGACUUUUAUGACUUAGUCUUCAACUCACACACUUUCACUUCUGCCACAUUCUGUUCUAUUCUCUCCUAAAUCCAGCCCCCAACGGGGCAUGAAUACCAGGAGGCAGGGCUCACUGGGGGCCAUCUUGGAGGCUGGAUACCACAGGGUCUUUGCACCAGCUCUUCCACAUGGUAACCUCAUGGCCAACUCCCUCAACUCCUUCAAUUUGUUGCUCAAAUGUAUCUUCUCAUAAGGUUUACCCCACCAACUGGUUAAAAUUGUACUGAGUCCCCUUUCCCCCUAUAUUCUCCCAAUCCUCCUGACUCUGCUCUCCUUUAUUUUUCUAUAGCUCAUAACAUCUUCUACUAUCCUAUAUAGUUUGCUUACUUAUUACAUUUAUUACAAUGUCUCCACUGUUCUGUUCCCCCACACUCCAGGAAGGCAGGAUUCUUUGUCUAUUUUGCUCAAUUAUCCAUCCCAAGCUCCCCAAAGAACCUGGCAGAUAAUGGAUCCUCAAUAAAUAUUUGUGUUUGAAUGAAGGAAUGAAGACCAUCAAGCAGAACUGGUUUAUUUAAACUUUGAUUUAAAAAAUUUCUGUUGUCUCAAAUAGACAACUACAGCAAGUAUCUGAGACACUUGUCUCAAAAGGAAAACUGGAACCUAAGCAAGUUCAGCCUUCCACAGGAUGGAAGAAGACAGAAAUGAAUGAUAAAUCAGAAGUCUUUAACAGAUGCAUUCAAUGAGAGUGUGAUGAGACUAACGUGCUUAUACACUGCCGAUGGGAGAAUAGAUUGAGGCGUCCCCUUUUGUUGAAAGGAGUAUGUGUCACCAGCUAUAAAGUAACCAGUCUCCUGGGAAUUUAUCCUAAAGAAAUCAUUCCAAAGAAAAAAAAGAUAGAAGUUUAUUACAAUAUCAUAACACUAAAAAUAUGAAGAUAACGUGUCCAAAUCUAGGCAAGUGGUACAUCAACCCAAUGAAAGAUCGUGUACUGGAGAAAAUGACAAGCAGGAAGAAUUGAAGAACUCUGGGACGGAAGGUCUAUGUGGCCAUACAGGCUGUGGCCAAACCAGACCCAGGCCGAGGAAUGGGAACAGAGCUUUGUCCUUUCCCGUCCCCAACUGUAGGACAUUCAGUGUCCUGUGAGCAGUUCUCCAGCAGGGACGAUUCUGGCCGGCAGGAGAGGUGGGGUGGGGGAUCAGGACUUGGGAGGUGGGCUUGUUGGAUAGUGGGGAGGGGUUUGUUCAUGUUUCAUUCCAGUGGUUUUUGAUUUGGGUAUCUUUGACCCUUUUUUUUUCAAGUGGGACUCCAAAAGAUCAUAGCAUACAGUAAGGUGGAUAUUUUUGUCAUUGUCUGGUUAAACUGAUUAAUGUGGACCACGCGUCUGGGAAAUUCCAGUUGUAAAGUAAAAUUUUGGACAUUACGCAUCUGAUUAUUUGUCACGGUUGUGAUGUUUGUUCUUUCAUUGUAGGUUGUGUUGGCAAGGGCAGCCUUGAGAACCUGUCUAUUUUCUUCUAGAUUCUGUGUCUUCCACAGAGGUGUGAGGCCAGAAGCAGUGUGAGGAUAAACACUCCUAUAAAGCCCAGUGUCGUUCCAGAUAUAAUUUUGGAUGCUGGUGAGAAUGGAGCUCUCAGUAUCCAGCAGUCAACAGUUACUCACUCAACAAUAAACUAGAUGUGGUUGCUUCCA